GAGACACCCCUGAGGAGCAGGACUUGUGUCAGUGGGGCUUUGGUGCUCACUGGGUCUGCCUCUUGAGUGGGUCGCU
rnacentral:pre_miRNA from 1 species